CAAUUGUCCCUACAUAAAUAUUUUGAAGCCUCAAAUAAAGAGGCUCAGAGCAGCAAAUACCAGGUGAAAAAUGAAACACCAGUGGGUUAUUACAGCCCUUACUGCUGCAAGUUGUCCAGGGAGCCUGGAUUCUGCUUUCUGACUGGCUUCCCUAACCUGUUCAGUACAAGAACAGGGUAAUUCUUUUCCACAGCUACGUUGUGAAACAAUAGAUUAUGUGCACAUGCAUCCAGAAGUUUGGCUGAUACAAAC